UGGCGGACGGGUGAGUAAUGUCUGGGAAACUGCCUGAUGGAGGGGGAUAACUACUGGAAACGGUAGCUAAUACCGCAUAACGUCGCAAGACCAAAGAGGGGGACCUUCGGGCCUCUUGCCAUCGGAUGUGCCCAGAUGGGAUUAGCUAGUAGGUGAGGUAACGGCUCACCUAGGCGACGAUCCCUAGCUGGUCUGAGAGGAUGACCAGCCACACUGGAACUGAGACACGGCCCAGACUCCUACGGGAGGCAGCAUG
rnacentral:rRNA from 1 species